rnacentral:rRNA from 1 species
CACGGGGGGAGCAAGCGUUGUUCGGAAUCACUGGGCGUAAAGGGCGUGUAGGCGGUCAAGUAAGUGGAUCGUGAAAUCCCUCGGCUCACCCGAGGACCUGCGUCCCAAACUGCUUGGCUUGAGUAUGGGAGAGGAUGAGGGAAUUCCUGGUGUAGCGGUGAAAUGCGUAGAUAUCGGGAGGAACACCUAUGGCGAAGGCAGCUCGCUGGGACGUUACUGACGCUGAGACGCGAAAGCGUGGGGAGCAAACAGG